rnacentral:lncRNA from 1 species
AAUCCUUUUGGUUUGGGUAAGUUUGUCAAACAAGCACCCAAAAAACAGGAUUUUAGUACUUCAAACUAAACCAAGUGUUAAACCGUUUUCACUUAUUUUCUUCAAAGAUAAGCUAGAUAUAUACAAAGAACCCUUAAUUAUCUCAAUAACUCAAAGGAGUUAGCCCAGUAGAGAAUGAUUUGGUUUGUAUUCAACAUGUAGCUAAGUUUCCAUUAGUUAUUAUAUACAACGAGGUAAAUGUAAUUUUCUUCGUAAGUACUCACUGAGUUUUUCUGCCUUAGACCGGAGCAACAUCCCUACCUUAAUUUUUUUAUUUUAAAGGAAAAAAGUGUGAUUAUCCAAAACUAUGCAUUGUUGCUUCCAUACUUCAUUUGUACCUCAGAGUUGGAAUUUUUCCCAAAGAUAGUUUCCAUAUCUUCUAAUGAUCUUCCUUUAGUUUCAGGCAAGAAAGAAUAGUAAAACCACCAACCCAAAACAUUUGUACCAACAAACAAAAAGAAAGUUCCACCCAAUGUUAUAGUUUUAUAAAUUGAAAUAAAACUAGUAACCACUGCCACAUUAGUAAUUCUAUUCAUAAUCACACAAACCCCAAGUCCUUGUGCUCUCAACCUUAGUGGAAAUAUCUCUGUGCUAUAAACCCAUGUCACAGCCCCAAUUCCAAUAGCAUUAAAACCUGCCAUAAUGUAUAUAACAAUAAUAGUAAAUAUUAUGGCCCAUAAUGGUUCUUCUCCUAAUUUAGAAUUCUCCACUAUAGCUGAACAAACACAUAACCCUAACAUAGAAAAAAUCACACCUCCUGAACUGACCAAUAAUAGAAUCCUUCUCCCAAUUUUAUCCAACAAAAAACAUGAUAGUAAUGUGAAUAAAGUUUGGCUUAUCCCAAUACCAACUGUAGCUAAAAGAAGUGUACCCUUAUCAGUGAUUCCCAUUCUUCCAAAAAUUCUUGGACUAUAUAAAAAAAUACCCUCAACUCCACAAAUAUUUUGAAAUAUAUGAACACCAAUAGCUGCAAUAAGUAUCCUAUAUACAUGUGGUGAAGGUUUAUAAAACAUUUCUUUUAAAGCUCCUCCACCACUACGAGUUUUCUUUGAAACAUGAACAAUGUUUUGGGUGCAAUUUUCAUCAAUUCCAACAGCAUUUUUUAUUUCCUUCAUCCUUUGUUCAGCUUCUUGUUUUGAAUUAGAGAUUAAUAAAAGAACUUUCUUAGCAUCACCUAAUCUUCCUUGCAUUACUAACCAUCUUGGUGACUCUACCAAUUGCAACAUUAAUAUUACCAAACCAAUUGAAGGUAUUGAAGGAAUAGCUAGCAUUAUUCUCCAUCCAAGUCUUAAAGAUAAUUUUCCAAGGAAAUAAUUUGAGAGAUAACCAAGUAAGAAACCUAUGUUAAUGGAAAGAUCUGGUAGAGAAGUUAGAAAACCUCUAUAAGAAGGAGAUGAAAUUUCUGCACUGUAAACAGAUACUAUGAUAAGUGCAAAACCAACACCAAAUCCUGCAAUGCAUCUUCCAAUCAUUAAGAUUGGAAAAGAUGAACCAUACCCCAUUAAAAUUGAGCCUAAGAAGAAGAAUAUCGACGAUAGCAUGAUUGUGUAGCGUCGACCUAUGUAAUCGGAUAAUCUUCCUGCAAUCAUGCAUGCUGGUAAUGCACAUGCAUUUAAGAUUCCUGCUAGAAGCUGCACUUGCAUGUCACUGAUUUCAAGUUCUUCCUUUAUGAAUAAGAGUGCUCCAGCCAUCACUGUUGUAACUAAAAUAAAAAAUAUUUACCUAUUAGUUGAUUUUGCAUAGCUAUUUUAUGCCAAAAAAUGCAUUUUAGACAUAUCAUAUCAGACUUUUUUUCAUUACUAUUAUUGUUACAUUAGAUUUUAUACUUUGUAUUAAAUUAUAAUUUUUCCAACAUUUUCAACAAUUUAGUAUGUUAAUCUACAUUAACUUUUUGCAUAAUUAAAUGUAUUGUUUUUUUUUUUUGAACAAUUAAUUAAAUGUAUUGUUAUAAACUAUAAUUAAAAUAUGAUAUCAUAUUUAGUCAUAUUAUCUACGAUAUCAUGUUGAAUAUCAAAACAAAGCACAACUUUUUUUUGUCUAUUAAUUCAUUAGUCUAUUUAAGGAUAUAUUACUUAUUUAAAGACUUUGUUAGUUUAAAAAGGUAAGAUACAAACCUAAAAUUAAGUAUAUGAUAGAUAACAUCUCAGAUCUAAGACGUGAUUUAUUUUUUUUUUUUAUCAAAUCAAGCUUGAGUCUUGCAAAGACUAAUUCAGUCUAGUCUAGUCUAGUCUAUUCUCAUCUCAGUAAAAGUUAGUCAUAAAUAAUUCUCCUGAAUGAUUUCUAUAAACCUGCUUGAAUUCAUUCCUCCAAAUGCACAACUAUUAUGAGACAGUAGAAAAUAAAGUUUGAGUAAAAGAAAAGACAGUAAAAAGAAUAGAAAGUCACUCACCAUAACCAAAUAUGGCAGAGAUAAUAGUGGCAGCUAACACACAAGCACAAGCAUGCUUGUUGAGAUGGUUUACAUCCCCACACGUGCUUUCCAUGGAUGAUACUUGGCUGUGCCCAUUUGUUUCUUUUCCACUAGACAACAUUCUUUAACCCAACUU